rnacentral:lncRNA from 1 species
GAGGAGUUGGAGAAAAGGGACUAGGAGUUGAUGCAGUCUAUCCGCAAAUGCAUUGAACUCGAGGAGAUGCACUGUGCCAAAGAUGAAGGGCUUGAGUUUGAACUUUCUUUUAUUCGACGAUGGCCGGCGUCUGUAAAGGUGGUGUUCUGAGCGAGAUCGAAUUGUAAGCUACAUGUUUUGACGAUGGCCGGUGGCCGUAAAGGUGUUAAUUCGAGAAAGAUUGAAUUGUAACCUAUUUGAUCCAACAAUGGCCGGUGGCCGUAAAGGUGUUAAUUCGAGCAAGAUUGAAUUGUAACCUAUUUGAUUCGAGCGAGGUCAAACUCGUCCUUUUCGGCGAUGGCCUUUGGCCGU